rnacentral:lncRNA from 1 species
CACUGACAUUAGAGGAACCACACUGAGACCUAUAACUGAGAUAACUCAGAUCGGGACCUUGAGGACAGUUACCGGAAUCAGGAACUCGAGAUGGAACAGGAGAACCUCCUCGAUGAUGGACAACGAGCAGCAGCAAGUAAAUGAAAAGAAUGUGUCCUGGCAGGAUUUCUUAAUGCUGUCCUUCUGAACAAUGCUGUAGCAUGUUGUACAAAAGAGAUGUACAGGAAAAGGAAGCC